UCUCAGGGAACUAGAGCCCCAAGUGCCAGGUAAAGGAGGAGAGAUGGGUACCGUAAAAAGAGGGGAGCGCUUGUCAGUUAAGGAAGCCACCCAUCUUCAUGGCAUUUGAGCCAGUGUACAUCUUGCUGGCCAUGGUGCUAAAGGCAAGGCUAAAGUGCCAGGACCACCAUAUGGGAGAUCCUGGGAACACACUUCAAGAAAUACCAGUUAAGAAUGCAGCCCUGUGCACACAUAGGACCAACUUAUCAUCGUAGAACAAAAAUCUGGGCUAUUACAAUGUGAGAGGAACAGA